AGCAGUAGGGAAUCUUCCACAAUGGGCGAAAGCCUGAUGGAGCAACGCCGCGUGAGUGAAGAAGGUUUUCGGAUCGUAAAGCUCUGUUGUUGGUGAAGAAGGAUAGAGGUAGUAACUGGCCCCUAUUUGACGGUAAUCAACCUGAAAGUCACGGCUAACUACGUGCCAGCAGCCGCGGUAAUACGUAGGUGGCAAGCGUUGUCCGGAUUUAUUGGGCGUAAAGCGAGCGCAGGCGGAAAGAUAAGUCUGAUGUGAAAGCCCCCGGCUUAACCGAGGAAUUGCAUCGGAAACUGUGUUUCUUGAGCGCAGAAGAGGAGAGUGGAACUCCAUGUGUAGCGGUGGAAU
rnacentral:rRNA from 1 species